ensembl:lncRNA
AGUAAAAUCAGCCUCAGAAGAAAGAGAAUAUUUAUGAGCAGAAUGGAGUUCCAUUUGAAGCAAGGACAACUUUCUCCAUAGGGAGGAAAAUAAAGUUAUGGAACAUCUAAAUAGAUUGCGAGAAUGCAAAACCAUGAGAUGUACUCAGAGGUGCUGGACAAUGUCAUUGGAACUAAUCCUUGAUUAUCUUUGAAGUGUUGUAGCAAUUGGAGAACAUUCUUGAGGACUGUAAUAAUCCAGGACUGCAUUACUGCUGUACUCAGGCAGAGAGAGAAAGAAGAUCUGGGGAAACUAGAAACCUGUCAUGUUCACAAUAGGAAAGUGAUAGAGCAAAUCUUCCUAGAAGACAUUUUCAAACACAUGAAGUUAAAGAAGUCAUAAACAAUCUCUGUCUGAUCACAGUUCUACAAGUGUAGCAAUUAUUUUCUAAUCAAUUUCAGAGGCAUAGAUCUUGGAACAAAAAUACAGUUUCAAAAGACUUUUAAGAGAAGCACACAAGCAACAGCUUUUGGACUGUCCAGCCCUCAGAGUUUGCAGAGCAUGACUGAGGGAGCACUUGCUUCCCAUCUGUGAUCAUCAGAAUUCUAAAGGACCAGUUGUAUCAGCUUAGCAUUCUUAACUCCGUGGAGCCUGAGGAGAUUCAACCUACAGUACUGAAGAAAUUAGCAGAUGUUAUAGCUGGACCCCUCUUAACGAUUUACCAGGAAUACUGGGAGUCUGGGAAGGUCUCUGCUGACUGGAAGCCAGCCAGUAUUAUCCCG